rnacentral:lncRNA from 1 species
GCGAGUGCAGGCGAGAAAGAAAAAAAGUCCUCCGUGUUUCUGGGAGCGAGAAGAUGUAACUCCCGGGGCAACGCAGAGGCAAGUUAAAGACCUCCUCGCCGUUGUGCGGGCGCAGGCGAGAAAGGUCCUCAGUGCAUCCAGGGGGGAGGAGAUGUACGCCCUGGGCAAGUUGAGGCACCGGAUAAAGUCCUUAUCGCCGUUGUGCGAACUAAGGCCCAUCAAAGACCUCCUCGCCGUCGAGCGAGUGCAGGCGUGAGAAAGAAAAGGUCCUCAGUGCAUCCAGG